rnacentral:rRNA from 1 species
AUUGAACGCUGGCGGCAGGCCUCACACAUGCAAGUCGAGCGGAGCGGCUGACGGGUGAGUAAUGCCUAGGAAUCUGCCUUGUAGUGGGGGAUAACGUCCGGAAACGGGCGCUAAUACCGCAUACUAUCAGAUUAGCCUAGGUCGGAUUAGCUAGUUGGUUGGGUAAAUGCCUACCAAGGCGACGAUCCGUAACUGGUCUGAUAGGAUGAUCAGUAACACUGGAACUAGGACACGGUCCAGAUUCCUACGGGAGGCAGAAGUGGGGAAUAUUGGACAAUGGGCGAAAGCCUGAUGCAGCCAUGCCGCGGGUGUGAAGAAGGUCUUCGGAUUGAAAAGCACGUUAAGUUGGGAGGCGUUACCAACAGAAUAAGCACCGGCUAACUUCGUGCCAGCAGCCGCGGUAAUAC